rnacentral:tRNA from 4 species
GGCAGUGUAGCUCAGGGGCUAGAGCAAUCGGUUCAUACCCGAUGUGUCGUAGGUUCGAAUCCUACCACUGCUA